rnacentral:lncRNA from 1 species
AUGGAUCAACUUCAUUCAAUCAAGAACACAAUCCAAAAAGUCUCAUAUCAAUAUCAUCAACCAAAUUCAUUUCAUGAACUAAACAUGACAAGGUAUGCAAAUUAUAACCACAUUGUGACAUCAGAAUGAACAAAUGCACAUUAACUCAAAAAUGGUUCAAAUAAUCUCAACAAAAUUCAUGAGUAAACAGGACAUACAACAUGAUCAUCACACAAAAAAUUAGAGGCAUUGGACAACAUUA